AGGGUCGGCCAGGCAAUCGCGUCACUGCGUCAGCAGUGCCGAGGAACGUCCGGGCUCCUCAGAGCAGGAUGGUGGGCAACACCCACCCGGAGUAAUCCGCGAGAUAGUGCCACAGAAAAUAGACCGCCCAGUUUUCUGGGUAAGGGUGAAACGGUGGUUUAAGAGACCACCAGAGGCUCGGGUGACCGAGUCUGCUAGGUAAACCUCGUCCGGAGCAAGGCCAAACAGGCACCCAUCAAGUUGCUCGCUUGAGUGUCGGGUAGGCCGCUAGAGGUUGCUGGUAACAGCCGCCCGAGAAAGAUGAUUGCCACCGAGGUUUCCUCGGGACAGAACCCGGCGUAUCGGCCGGCCCUCUCU
rnacentral:RNase_P_RNA from 1 species